GCUUAGUCAGUUUUCCCACGACUAUGUUUUCCUACACUUCGUCAAUUUUCAUUCCCAAAACCUAACCACCGCGACAGCCGUCUAGCAACCGACAUCCACUUCCUCCUUCUCCGCCUCCGACCGUUCCCCUCCUUCUUCUCCUCCUUGUCCGCCUCUGACCGUUCUCUAGUUUGAAGACGGAGCCGCAGCUCCCAAUCAGCAAGGACGAGAUCCGAAGACACAGACCAUCCUUAUCACCCCCAAAACACAGAUUGUAGUCGCUGUCUCUUCUUUCUCUCUCCAUGGGCCUCUCCAUCUCAGCCCCUCUCUUCGACCAUCGAGGCGUCGACGGCCCUCGCUCUCCUCGUUAGUAACUCGUUUUUGAGCCCUACAAGGUCUGCAAAGUGGAUCUUCUUGCGCAAAGUUGCUCUUCAUGGCUCAUAAUUUGGGGUGCUCGGCACUUGGUGUCUAGUAGCUUAACACAUUGGGGUUCCUUCCUACACAUGCAUCCGAUUGGGUUUCAUCCUUACCCCCUGCUCAGGUUAAGAGCAAGCUUAAAGGUCACUCUAAAAGGAUAACUGGCCUAGCAUUCUCUCAUGUAUUAAAUGUGCUAAUUUCAUCAGGAGCAGAUGCUCAGGUACACCUAAUCAGAUCUUGUUCUUAUGUAGUUUUGCUACUGUGAUAGUAGUCCAAAAUCUAAUCAGACGCCCAGAUAUCUUUCCUGCUUAUGUAUAACUGAGGAAAGGUAAUAUAUCUAACAGGCAUACAAAUUACCAAAACUCGCAGAUUACUGGGAAAACCGAUGUCUAGCAUAAAUAUGGACAUCAGUUCAAACUAUACUACAGAAUGUAGAUUGAAUGUCUAGUGAAAUAUUAUGUACCAAACACACGAAAAGCUUAUGAACCAUAAGCUAAAAUUUAUGAGAACCGAUGUGUAAAAUAUUAUCAGACAUCGUUUCUAAAUCAGAAACGAUGUUAAAAUGGAUAAUUGUGUUGUUAGACCUAUAUUUCAUUAAGCAUCUAAUGCCAAAAUAUGAAGGUUUGACAAUAGCUAAACACACAAAAAUGGUGAUCACAUUAACGUUUUUACAUUGGUUCUGAACCUUAAACCGAUGUCUCGUUGCAAAAUAGACAUCAGUUGUGAACUGAUGUCUUAGUUUUGGCGAUCUUUAACAUCGCCCACUAAGACAUCGGAUUUUUUUUUUUUAACAUCAGUUGUGAACUGAUGUCUAUGAACUUUAUCCUAGUAGU